CCUACGGGAGGCAGCAGUGAGGAAUAUUGGACAAUGGGAGCAAUCCUGAUCCAGCCAUGCCGCGUGCAGGAAGACAGUCCUAUGGAUUGUAAACUGCUUUUAUACAGGAAGAAAAAGCCAGACGUGUCUGGUGUUGACGGUACUGUACGAAUAAGGAUCGGCUAACUCCGUGCCAGCAGCCGCGGUAAU
rnacentral:rRNA from 1 species